AUUGAACGCUGGCGGCAUGCCUUACACAUGCAAGUCGAACGGCAGCACGGGAGCAAUCCUGGUGGCGAGUGGCGAACGGGUGAGUAAAGUAUCGGAACGUGCCCAGUCGUGGGGGAUAACGUAGCGAAAGUUACGCUAAUACCGCAUACGAUAUAUGGAUGAAAGCGGGGGAUCGCAAGACCUCGCGCGAUUGGAGCGGCCGAUAUCAGAUUAGGUAGUUGGUGGGGUAAAGGCUCACCAAGCCGACGAUCUGUAGCUGGUCUGAGAGGACGACCAGCCACACUGGGACUGAGACACGGCCCAGACUCCUACGGGAGGCAGCAGUGGGGAAUUUUGGACAAUGGGCGAAAGCAUGAUCCAGCCAUGCCGCGUGCAGGAUGAAGGCCUUCGGGUUGUAAACUGCUUUUGUACGGAACGAAAAGGUUUGGGCUAAUAAGCUGAGCUCAUGACGGUACCGUAAGAAUAAGCACCGGCUAACUACGUGCCAGCCGCCGCAGUAA
rnacentral:rRNA from 1 species